rfam:Triticum aestivum genome assembly, contig: Triticum_aestivum_CS42_TGACv1_scaffold_221352_3B
CAAGUACUCCCUCCGUCCAGAAUUACUCGUCAUCAAAAUGGAUGUGUCUAGAACUAAAAUACAUCUAGAUACAUCCAUUUCAAUGACAAGUAUUUUCGGACGGAGGGAGCACAAG